CGCCGCCGCCUCACCACCCACCUCCCUGGAUACUCCAGCCCCUCCCACCUCCUACCGGUCCUCUAACGCUUAGGUGCCCCUGCCCCCCUCCUCCUGGUGACCACAGAGCUCCGCACGGACGAGGGACACGCAUGCCUGCCGGCCUUGAUGGUCGCCCUCUCUCCCGUGGCCAGCCGCGCUACGGCGAGGAGCUGAGGGCAGGCGGAGAGCGAGCGGAGGGUAGGGGAGAGAGAGCCAUGGGCAGGAUAGGCGGCGAAGGGCAAAUGAUCCUGUCACGAUAACGCAAAUCACGUCGGCAAUCACCCAAAAAAAACAUCAUCGCUACCACCACAGCGCCGUCGUCCUCGACCGCGCCCUCCAUGCUAGCGCGGCAUGGCUAUGUCGCCCCAGCGGUGGUGACCGCCACACCAGCGCGACACCCUCCGCAGCGCGUCCCGCAACGAUUCACAGCCAUGCGGCUCCGCCAUCCCCAGAUCGGAUCAGUUAUGGCUCGGUUCUUGAGGUUCCGAUGUACAAGCAUAUAGCAGAUCUUGUUGGUAAAAGCGCUACAACGCUUCCCGGCCCUGCAAUUACAGUCAUUAAUGGUGGAACCCACGCUGGAAAUAGUCUUCCCAUUCAAGCAUUUCCACUUUACAUGUACAACUAUCUUUUGGAGCAAAAGUUUUUGUUAACGGCUAAAAAACUACAUCCCCGUAACUUUUUAAGCUAGAGGUUGUUUACUCCCCUUGUUUCUUCCAAUUGAUUCUAUUUUUAAUAAGCACAAAUGAAGAUGGUCCAUCCAUGUAUAUCAAUAACUCAAGAUGCUUUAAUGUUUUUUUGUCGGACCUUCAAGUAAAGUUUCUUUCUGUAGGAAAUUAUGAUAUUUCAGUUGGUACGAAGAACUUUGAAGAAGGAAUGCAGGUGGGAUCAGAGACAUAUCAUUAUCUGAAGGUUCCCUCUAUUUCUAAGAAACUGCUUCACAUAUAUCUGUAGAUAAUAAUACCAUGCAUAGUUUCAUGGGUUUAUCCAUGUUUUCCAAUCUCAUAUUUGGACCAACCUGAUUCCGGAUGGAGCUCGGCUGCGGUGCAGCAAUGGCGCCAUGGAGGCAUGAAGGAUGAGUUGGUGCUUGCCUGCUUGAGAUGCCGCUGGUGGUAUUAGCUAUCCCACCCCCAUGAAGAGAACAAUAAUCGUCUCCAAUGGCCUCCUCUCUUGGGGGAUUCUGAAAUAGUUGCGAAUAUGGUGGUUGGACGAUUCUCGGGAGGGGCACCUGAAGAGCAGCCGGGAGGGAAAGGGAAGAAAUCUACCCGAACGCUCUCACUCACUCCCUUUAGCCAAGCGUGAUGUAUGGAUGGACAGACGAGGGCUACCGAAAGCACCUUCUCCCUGAGAUCAUGGUACCCGCCACUACUGCCAAACUAAUCGCCUGGAUGGAUGAGUUGUCGGUCGCAUGAAGUACCCAUCAGAAACAACAUCAUGCUGAGUGUUUGGCGAAGAACAUGAGGCAGGCUUUUAUUGGUGUUUCCUUAAACCUGUAAUAGGUUACAACCAUUAGAUACCGUGUGUAACUCCCUUUGCUGUCGCUGAAGAAUCCGCAUGUUCUGAUAUCUGAAUAUUUGAGGAAAAUUUAAUAUAAUUGUAUUUGGUGAUGCCUUGGAAGGAUGAGAGGACAUGCCUUCAAGUUUUUCAUCAAAUAGGAUGGUUUCAUCCAAGGAGCCACAUAUGAGCUACAUCGGAGGCUCCACAAUAUUGUGUUGAGGGGUUUCCUGUUCAAAGAUUUAGAUGGAUCCUAUCUUUCAUGAUUGAUCGGGAAUAGUGUUCCUGCUGUAAAGAAGCUUACGGGCAACUCCCAGUUUAAAAUUGAUCUGGAUGUUUCGUAUCCGCUGCCGUCAACAAACU